rnacentral:rRNA from 1 species
GGGUCAGUAGGUUGGUCGUGCCACCGGGACGUACUGGCCUCACUGAUUCCUCCUUCCUGAAGAACCGUAAUGCCAUUAAUUUGGUGUUGCGGGGAAACAGGACUGUUACUUUGAAAAAAUUAGAGUGUUUAAAGCAAGCUAACGCUUGAAUACAUUAGCAUGGAAUAAUGAAAUAGGACGAUCGAUCCUAUUUUGUUGGUUUCUAGGAUUGACGUA